UUAUAUGAAGGCACGCAAGGCAUUGGUUGGGAAUCGACUUUGGGUUUGAGGUGGGUCAUGAAUGUUGAUUUGCUUGAACUUGUUCUUGAGCCCAAUGACAUUUAAUUUUUACUAAACCGCUUCAGAUUGAACUCAACCAGAUCAGACUAUGACUUAAUAAAAGGGUUAAUCAAAUAUUUUCCAUACAAUUAUAACUUUCAAUCUAACCAGGACCAAAGCC
rnacentral:lncRNA from 1 species